rnacentral:rRNA from 1 species
AGUGAACGCUGGCGGUAGGCCUAACACAUGCAAGUCGAACGGCAGCACAGUAAGAGCUUGCUCUUACGGGUGGCGAGUGGCGGACGGGUGAGGAAUACAUCGGAAUCUACUUUUUCGUGGGGGAUAACGUAGGGAAACUUACGCUAAUACCGCAUACGACCUACGGGUGAAAGCAGGGGAUCUUCGGACCUUGCGCGAUUGAAUGAGCCGAUGUCGGAUUAGCUAGUUGGCGGGGAAAAGGCCCACCAAGGCGACGAUCCGUAGCUGGUCUGAGAGGAUGAUCAGCCACACUGGAACUGAGACACGGUCCAGACUCCUACGGGAGGCAGCAGUGGGGAAUAUUGGACAAUGGGCGCAAGCCUGAUCCAGCCAUACCGCGUGGGUGAAGAAGGCCUUCGGGUUGUAAAGCACUUUUGUUGGGAAAGAAAAGCAGCAGGUUAAUACCCCGCUGUUCUGACGGUACCCAAAGAAUAAGCACCGGCUAACUUCGUG